GCCUGGGUGGCUCAGUCAGUUGAGCGUCCGACUUCAGCUCAGAUCAUGAUCUCGCAGUCUGUGAGUUCGAAUCCCGCAUCGGGCU
rnacentral:tRNA from 1 species